UUUGAAAAUAGUCAUUUUGAACUCGUAGUCCAACGGUUUUUAUUAUCUGGCAACCCCAAUGUUGCCAUAUGGUAUAAUCUAGUAUAUUUUCGCAUACCACCGUGAGAGAGAUGGGCGAAAUAUCGAUGCGCGAUGAGUAUCGAGUUGCCGAUUCUUAAUCAUCGACCACCUAUCGAUAUCGCGGUGCUACGAUGUCCCAUCGAUGGCUCGAUGGUUUUUCGAUGUUUUUCCACCGACCGACGAAAUUAUGCGUACGCUCCGCUUAUUUUUUAUUUAUUUUUUCGUAAUGCGAACCGAACGCUCGCCGCCCAUUAGAAUGCAAUGAAAAGUCGCACAAAGCCGGGAAAAGUGAAGUUAUUUACGCGAAUUGAAACAGUGCAGUGCGUGCGAGCGAGAGCGAUAAUUAAGAUGAAAUUGCAGGCGACGCCGAAAUAAAAAACAAAAAAAAAAGCGUUGCAGCAACAACGUGCGUGUGCGAAUCAGCCGCUUCAAAAGCCAGAACUUUGAAAAGUCGAAGCUGAAUUUUCCCCGAUUUUUCCCGAUUUUCCGUUUCCCGCGAAUCU